rnacentral:rRNA from 1 species
GACGAACGCUGGCGGCGUGCUUAACACAUGCAAGUAGAACGAAGUGGCGAACUGGUGAGUAAGACGUUAGUAACCUGCACUCCUUUUUAGGAUAAGCCUUGGAAACGUGGUCUAAUACCCUAUUAAGGGGGAUGGGCUCGCGGACUAUCAGCUUGUUGGUGGGGUGAUGUCGUACCAAGGAGGGCACGGGUAGCCCGCCUGAGAGGGUGACAGGCCCCAUUGGGACUGGGAGACGGCCCAGACGCCGACGGGAGGCAGCAGUGGGGGAUAUUGCAUAAUGGGCGAAAGCCUGAAGCGGCGACGCCGAGUGGGGGAUGAAGGCUGUCGGGUUGUAAAGCUCUAUCGCUAUCGAACGGGUAGGUGGAGAAAAAGCGCCGGCUAACUACGUGCCAGCAGCCGCGGUAAUAC